rfam:Bacillus sp. FJAT-21945 super3, whole genome shotgun sequence.
AAAAAGAAAACCCUGCAGAAAUUUCUGCAGGGUCCUUCUAUAUCCUAUACUAGGAUAGAAGGCAAAGGGAGAGGAGAAACCGGAGGAAGAACUUAUGGGGAAACGUAAGUCUUCUCCGCGG